GACGAACGCUGGCGGCGUGCUUAACACAUGCAAGUCGAACGGAAAGGCCCUGCUUUUGUGGGUUGCUCGAGUGGCGAACGGGUGAGUAACACGUACGUAACCUGCCCUUGACUUUGGGAUAACUUCAGGAAACUGAGGCUAAUACCGAAUAGGAGCUCCUGCUGCAUGGUGGGGGUUGGAUGGUUUCGGCGGUUGGGGAUGGACUCGCGGCUUAUCAGCUUGUUGGUUGGGUGGUGGCUUACCCAGUCUUUGACGGGUAGCCGGCCUGCGAGGGUGACCGGCCACAUUGGGACUGAGGUACGGCCCAGACUCCUGCGGGAGGCAGCAGUGGGGAAUAUUGCACAAUGGGAGGAAGCCUGAUGCAGCAACGCCGCGUGCGGGAUGACGGCCUUCGGGUUGUAAACCGCUUUCGCCUGUGACGAAGCGUGAGUGACGGUAAGGGGUAAAGAAGCACCGGCUAACUACGUG
rnacentral:rRNA from 1 species